CAUAUGCUGGAGAGAGGAAGGCUUUUGUGAGAGCUCUUCAAUUAAAGAGAUUAUUAAGAUUAUUAAGUGUAGAAAUCCACUUGAUUCCACUUUGUAAACACUUCUGAGACUAUGAGAUGUUCUGGUGUAUGUUUUAUGUAAGAGGAGUGUUGAAUGGUGGUGAGACUGUUAAUAAACCCUCUCUGGUGAACUGAAGUGAAAGUGUCCUGAGUUUCCUUCAACACAAAGCAGAUGAGAGAAGCAGCGGUUAUCAGCAGACCGGCUUCAUCAGCACGCUUUUGUCUACUACAAGAAGUUCGGAAUAAAGAGAACCAAGUGGGUGGGGCUUGAGCUCCAAGUGGGUGGGGGCUUGGGCUCCAAGUGGAUGGGGGCUUGGGCUCCAAGUGGGUGGGGCUUGAGCGCCAAGUGGGUGGGGCUUGAGCUCCAAGUGGGUGGGGCUUGAGCUCCAAGUAGGAAGUUUAAACCUCCUGGGGCUUUUGAUUGAUUGAUUUAAUGUCCUGUACAUGAGCUGGAUUCUGUAGUACACUGAUUUAGUUUCAAUUCGUUAGUGAAAAAGAAGGGACGACAACCGCAUGGUUUUGAUGGCAGAGAUGCGCUUAAUUGGAGAGGUGAGUAAGUUUGUUAGUUUGUUUCUUUUAAAGUAAAUUAAGGAGAGAAUUGUGGAAUAGAGUCUGCUAUCACUUUAAGAGCAGAAGUACAGAUACACAUCCUGGGAAGGGCAGACGAGCUGAGCUCCAAGGAAUCUAUUCUGAAGCCCCCCGUUCAGGAUCUUGCAGUCUGUCGUUCCUGCAGUCCAAAUACUCCAAUGAGUUCUAAUAUUUUACAAUGAGUUUUAAUUCUACAUAGAAAAAAACCAUGGCACCAUUUUUUAUGUUCUCUUUAGAAAUGUUAGAUGUUUGUAUGAGUGUCUUGUUUGAGUCGUCCUUCAUUUAGCAACUGGAAUGUUUUACUUGUGUAUGUGAGAUCAUUAAACUUUGUCUUUUAUAUUGA